GUUAAUUUCCCUGGAUGAUCAGUAUGCUCUCAAUCUCUAUGCUUAGUCAUAGAUAUACAACCAUGUCAAAAGCUAGCCCUUCCCAACUAAGUCCAAACGGAUGACAAAAAGUGAACCUUGUCCCACUGACAAGAAACUUGGUCUUCCCUCUUAUCUUCAAAAAUGCAAUCUUGCCGAGUAACCCAAAAAGGAGCUAGAGCCAGAGAACCUUAGCUUUCUAUCCUUGCCCGAAAGCAAAACCAUUUUUCAUUAGCAAAGAGCUACAAGAACUUGGAGCAUCCUAAAACCAAUAACAUAAUUGAGAAUCAAUGCAUGUAUCCGUAAGCAUAGUACCCAAACCAAUUUUAAAUUUCUGAUAGGCUUACUUAAUUGCCCAAAUUCUACCAAGCUUUUCAGUUAACCUGCUCAAAAUACAAUCCGCAGGUACAUUUAAAUAAAUUGGGUUAUUUAACGCCUAUAAUCUUUGAAACCUCAUCAAAUUGCUACCAGAAGUAAUCCAUACCAAACAAUCAACACAUGAAAUACAGGACCUUCAGACAGAAGAAAGAUGGCCGAAGAAGAAAUUAAAAACCCAUAGAAGCACUAAAUACUUCUCCUAUUACUAAUAAUGGAACAAAACAACAUCAAAAUACGCUCAAUAUACCACUAGAGGAAUAAAUCCACACCAAUGACAAGCUAAAUAUGACAUCUUUCUAGAAUUAAUAAUUCUGCAACCAAAAAAGCACAGUAAUUAUCUGCAUUUUAAAUAAUCCUAAAAACAGGACAAUGACUUAUUUAUGUCAUAUAAAGGACCUACAAACACUUAUCUUUUUAUCUAUUUUAUUUCCAAGCAAAAACAACAUUUUUCUAUUCUUUCUUCAACUGGAAAACAGGUUAUGUUACGGUAGUCACUAGACAGUAGGCAAAACACUUGAUAACUAAAUAUAUAAAAAGAAAUAAAAAAGAGUUAAAAAAAAUUACAAAAGUUAAAAUCGAAAAAACAAAAAGAUUAAAAAUGAAACUGCUUGUGAAAAAUGAAAAUAUCAAACCCCCUUCUUCAGAACAAUUCAAAGAGGGAGUUGCUGGUUCUUAAUGCAACAGUAAGUAACAUGCCACUGAAACCCCAACCUUUAAACAUAGAACUUGAACUCAGGAAGAGAUAAAAGAAAAAGACAUAGAUGACUGACUGAGUCCGACUGAAAGAGAGUUAAAAAGAAAUAAAAAAGAGUUAAAAAAGAAAUAAAAAAGAGUUAAAAAAAUUACAAAAGUUAAAAUCGAAAAUACAAAAAGAUUAAAAAUGAAACUGCUUGUGAAAAAUGAAAAUAUCAAACCCCCUUAUUCAGAACAAUUCAAAGAGGGAGUUGCUGGUUCUUAAUGCAACAGUAAGUAACAUGCCACUGAAACCCCAACCUUUAAACAUAGAACUUGAACUCAGGAAGAGAUAAAAGAAAAAGACAUAGAUGACUGACUGAGUCCGACUGAAAGAGAGUCGCCAAUAUACCGUACUGGUCAGCUCCCAGUUGAAUUUGCAAGGUUGGGUUCGAGUCCCAGUCCCACAGGUAGUGAAAGUAGGUAGGUAUCGUAAGUUCCUACUAACCAGCUGGAGUAUCAAAAC
rnacentral:lncRNA from 1 species